CUUGAGGAAAGUGGGACGGAAGGUUCUGGAACCAUCUGCCCCUUCAGGCUUCUUCAUCCUGCUUAUGGUGCCCAGAUAUUAAUUACGCCUCAUGAUGCUGACAUCUUUGGAGACGAUGGAUUCAUCUCUGACAGGAGAAGCGGCUCCGGGGUCCCCGCGGCCCGAGGCUGG